rnacentral:rRNA from 1 species
AGAACGAACGCUGGCGGCGUGCUUAACACAUGCAAGUCGAGUGCACAGUUCCCGUAGCAAUACGGGGAUGGGUGCACGGCGCACGGGUGCGUAACACGUGGGCAAUCUGCCCUCCGAUGGGGAAUAACCCCGCGAAAGCGGGGCUAAUUCCGCAUAACAUUCCCUGGACCUCGGUCUGGGGAUUCAAAGCCGUAAGGCGUCGGAGGAGGAGCCCGCGCCCGAUUAGCUAGUUGGCGAGGUAACGGCUCACCAAGGCAAUGAUCGGUAGCUGGUCUGAGAGGAUGGCCAGCCACACUGGAACUGAGACACGGUCCAGACUCCUACGGGAGGCAGCAGUGGGGAAUCUUGCGCAAUGGGCGAAAGCCUGACGCAGCGACGCCGCGUGGGGGAUGAAGCUUCUCGGAGUGUAAACCCCUUUCGACUGGGACGAAUGCCUCGCAAGAGGAGUGACGGUACCAGUAGAAGAAGCCCCGGCUAACUACGUGCCAGCAGCCGCGGUAAGACGUAGGGGGCCAGCGUUGUUCGGAAUUACUGGGUGUAAAGGGUUCGUAGGCGGUGCGGCAAGUUGGGAGUGAAAUCUCUGGGCUUAACCCAGAGGCUGCUUCCAAAACUGCCGUGCUCGAGUGUGGGAGAGGCGCGUGGAAUUGCAGGUGUAGCGGUGAAAUGCGUAGAUAUCUGCAGGAACACCCGUGGCGAAAGCGGCGCGCUGGACCACAACUGACGCUGAGGAACGAAAGCUAGGGGAGCAAACAGGAUUAGAUACCCUGGUAGUCCUAGCCCUAAACGAUCAGGACUUGGGGUGCCGCCCGUUCGGGCGUCGUCCCGGAGCUAACGCGUUAAGUCCUGCACCUGGGGAAUACGGUCGCAAGACUGAA